rnacentral:tRNA from 1 species
AGCCUUAUAGUUUAAUUAAAACAUUAAAUUGCAAAUUUAAAAAUAAACAAUAAUUUAAGGCUU